rnacentral:ncRNA from 1 species
AGACAGCGCUAUCGCGCUUCCUCAGCCCGAACGGCAUCGAAGUAACGGCUGGGUAAAUCAAGAUUCUUAUCCAUAACUCACG